GACGAACGCUGGCGGCGUGCUUAACACAUGCAAGUCGAACGGAAAGGCCCUGCUUUUGUGGGGUGCUCGAGUGGCGAACGGGUGAGUAACACGUGAGUAACCUGCCCUUGACUUUGGGAUAACUUCAGGAAACUGGGGCUAAUACCGGAUAGGAGCUCCUGCUGCCUGGUGGGGGUUGGAAAGUUUCGGCGGUUGGGGAUGGACUCGCGGCUUAUCAGCUUGUUGGUGGGGUAGUGGCUUACCAAGGCUUUGACGGGUAGCCGGCCUGAGAGGGUGACUGGCCACAUUGGGACUGAGAUACGGCCCAGACUCCUACGGGAGGCAGCAGUGGGGAAUAUUGCACAAUGGGCGGAAGCCUGAUGCAGCAACGCCGCGUGCGGGAUGACGGCCUUCGGGUUGUAAACCGCUUUCGCCUGUGACGAAGCGUGAGUGACGGUAAUGGGUAAAGAAGCACCGGCUAACUACGUG
rnacentral:rRNA from 1 species